ACCAAUAAGCCUGAUCCAAAGCUCACUGAAGUCAAUGGAGAGCUUUUCCACAGACUUCAAUAAGCUUUGGAUCAGGCUCUUAGU
rnacentral:pre_miRNA from 1 species